rnacentral:rRNA from 1 species
UACGGAGGGUUCAAACGUUGCUCGGAAUCAUUGGGCGUAAAGCGCACGUAGGCGGUCGGCUAUGUCGGAUGUGAAAGCCUCGGGCUUAACCCGAGAAGGGAAUCAGAAACUGGCCGGCUUGAGUACGGAAGAGGGUCUCGGAAUUCCCGGUGUAGAGGUGAAAUUCGUAGAUAUCGGGAGGAACACCAGUGGCGAAGGCGGAGACCUGGGCAGAUACUGACGCUGAGGUGCGAAAGCGUGGGGAGAAAACAGG